UACCAAGUGUACUUUUAAAAUAACUGUAUGCUGUGGUUAUUGAUUCAUAAAAUGGAGAUUUCUUUCACAUUUUAAUUUUUCAGAAAUUGAGAUAAGAUCUGCCAUAGAGGUAUACACCUACAGUUAUACCGUAUUAGCUUCUGAGGGCUACUGUAAGAAAGUGCGCUAAACAAGGUGGUUUAAAAUAACAGAAAGUUACUAUCUCACAGUUCUGGAGGCCAGAAGGCUGAGGUCAAGGUAUUGGCAGGGUCAUGCUCUCUCUGAUGGUUCUAGGAGAGAAUCCUUUCUUGUCUCUCUAGUUUCUGGUGUUUGCCAACAGUUCUUGGUGUUCCUUGGCUUGUAGCUGCAUCUCUGUAGCUAUAGAGACAUUUUCUCCCUUUCUUUGAGUUCAAAUUUUUGCUUUUUAAAACCAGCACCCCAGUCAGGUGGAUUAAGGUCACCCUGGUGACCCUCAUUUUGAUUACUGCUUCAAAAAUCCCAUUUCUUAAAUAAGGUACUGGGAGUUAGUAUUUAUAUUUUUUUAAAAAGAGGGGGGAGUGCUAUUUAACCCAUAAAAGAAUCUUUUACUUUCCCCCCUUCUUUACCCUUCUAUUCCAUUUUUUUCCCUAGACCUUUCUUCUUGAUGUUUUUUGGUUAUUUUCUUAAGUUUGGGUGUCAAUAUCAUUUUUUUAAAUAACUGAAUUGAGUUUAGGAAAUACCUGCCAAUCUUAUUGCCUUGGUCUCCCUGAUCUUACACAGCCUGCAUAAUUAAUUAACCAUUGAAUUAACCACCAAUUAACCAUUGAAUAUAUACCUCCCUCUUCUUAAAUCUGCCUUCAGCAAAGAUGUAUGCAUGAACUGCAUUAAACCUUACAAAAC
rnacentral:lncRNA from 1 species